rnacentral:rRNA from 1 species
AGAGUUUGAUCCUGGCUCAGGAUGAACGCUGGCGGAGUGCCUAAUACAUGCAAGUCGAGCGGCAGCACGAGUAGUUUACUACUUGGUGGCGAGCGGCGGACGGCUGAGUAACGCGUGGGAACGUACCCCAAAGUGAGGGAUAAGCUCUGGAAACAGAGUCUAAUACCGCAUAUGAUCUUCGGAUUAAAGCUUUCGAGCGCUUUGGGAACGGCCUGCGUCCGAUUAGAUAGUUGGUGAGGUAAUGGCUCACCAAGUCGACGAUCGGUAACUGGUUUGAGAGGAUGAUCAGUCAGACUGGAACUGAGACACGGUCCAGACUCCUACGGGAGGCAGCAGUAAGGAAUCUUCCACAAUGGGCGAAAGCCUGAUGGAGCAACUCCGCGUGCAGGAUGAAGGCCUUCGGGUUGUAAACUGCUUUUAUGAGUGAAGAAUAUGACGGUAACUCAUGAAUAAGGGUCGGCUAACUACGUGCCAGCAGCCGCGGUCAUACGUAGGACCCGAGCGUUAUCCGGAAUGACUGGGCGUAAAGAGUUGCGUAGGUGGUCAGUAAAGCGAAUAGUGAAACCUGGUGGCUUAACCAUACAGACUAUUAUUCGAACUCACUGACUCGAGAGUGGUAGAGGUAGCUGGAAUUUCUAGUGUAGGAGUGAAAUCCGUAGAUAUUAGAAGGAACACCAAUGGCGUAGGCAGGCUACUGGACCAUUUCUGACACUGAGGCACGAAAGCGUGGGGAGCGAACCGGAUUAGAUACCCGGGUAGUCCACGCCGUAAACGAUGGAUACUAGCUGUUGGAGGUAUCGACCCCUUCAGUAGCGAAGCUAACGCGUUAAGUAUCCCGCCUGUGGAGUACGGUCGCAAGA